rnacentral:rRNA from 1 species
AAUGAACGCUGGCGGCGUGCCUAACACAUGCAAGUCGUACGAGAAAGGGGCUUCGGCCCUGAGUAGAGUGGCGCACGGGUGAGUAACGCGUGGGUAAUCUGCCCUUGGAUUUGGAAUAACUCCGCGAAAGUGGAGCUAAUACCGGAUAGUCUGGCUUUUUAACGAAGUCGGUAAAGGAUGCCUCUGCAUAUGCAUUCGUCCUAGGAUGAGCCCGCGUCUCAUUAGCUAGUUGGUAGGGUAAUGGCCUACCAAGGCAACGAUGAGUAGCUGGUCUGAGAGGAUGAUCAGCCACACUGGAACUGAAACACGGUCCAGACUCCUACGGGAGGCAGCAGUGGGGAAUAUUGCGCAAUGGGCGAAAGCCUGACGCAGCAACGCCGUGUGAGGGAUGAAGGCUUUCGGGUCGUAAACCUCUGUCAGAAGGGAAGAACGGGCAUUGGUCUAAUAGGCCUUUGUUUUGACGGUACCUUCAGAGGAAGCACCGGCUAACUCCGUGCCAGCAGCCGCAGUAAGAC